ACUCCCCCCUUUAUAAAGUCUUUAAAAAAGCAGAUUCAUGGGGUGUCUGGGUGGCUCAGUUGGCUAAGUCUCUGCCUUUGGCUCAGGUCAUGAUACCA